UCUAGAUGGCAAAGCCACGGCUUUAAUCCUACUCAUUGCUCAGUAAUUUAAAGGCUCGUGUGGUCAGAAAAAGAGAGAUAUACAGUAAAGAGAUUCAAAGACAAAGAAAAUUUUAAAUGAUUUACAGUGUGUUAGAAAUAUAUGCAAGCUAAAAGUUAAAAGUUCUUAAAAAAAAGUAAGAAAAAGAGAAGUUGUGUGUGGUAGUACACACCUUUAAUCCCAGUGCCUAGGAGGCAGAGACAAACAGAUCUCUGUGAGUUCAAGGUGUGGUGGCAAACACCUUUAAUCCCAAUGCCUGGGAGGCAGAGACAGGCAGAUCUCUGAGAGUUCAAGGAGAGCCUGGUCUACAGAGUUAUUCCAGGUCAAAGAGAUACAGAGAAUAUAAAAGUAAAAAUAAAAGAAAUAGAGGUUAAAAUAAAGCAUACAAAGAUGGAAAAUACACAGAGAAUCUUGAUACUGUAUACUAUUAUGCUCUCUUUGAAUUGUUUGAAUGCUGAGGAAGGAGCAACAGCUGCCAAAAGAUAUUUGUUUAUAAAUGCUGCUGAACUAAUCCAACGUAGAGAUUUUGAUGCCUUGACUUUGAAAUUUGGAUCUAAGGACAUGAUACUUUGGAAAGGAGUUUCUUUUUUUGUUUUCACAGAGGAUGAGACCCUGUUCAUUUCUUCUAUUCCGAUAUGGUAUGAUGGACCACGCCCUCCUGAACGGUUGCUGUGAAUACCUUCAGAAAAUUGCUUCGCUCAACUGCCAACUGAGAUGAAACUAGCACACAGGUUAUACCAUGAAAGACCUAAUUAACGACGCCCCCAUUCAGCAGGAAGCAGUUUGGAGAGAAAAAACUGCGCCCAUGUUCCCAAAUAUGGUUUAUAAAUGUUCUUUUACAUUUAAAGGGGGAGAUGAUAUAGGACUUUUCAUGACAAUGAGACACUCUGCUCCUGGCAGCACCAAUCUAC